rnacentral:rRNA from 1 species
UACGUAGGGUGCGAGCGUUGUCCGGAAUUAUUGGGCGUAAAGAGCUCGUAGGCGGUCUGUCGCGUCGAUCGUGAAAACUUGGGGCUUAACCCUGAGCUUGCGGUCGAUACGGGCAUGACUGGAGUUCGGCAGGGGAGACUGGAAUUCCUGGUGUAGCGGUGGAAUGCGCAGAUAUCAGGAGGAACACCGAUGGCGAAGGCAGGUCACUGGGCCGCAACUGACGCUGAGGAGCGAAAGCAUGGGGAGCGAACAGG